rnacentral:rRNA from 1 species
GCAACUCGCCUGCAUGAAGUUGGAAUUGCUAGUAAUCGCGAAUCAGAAUGUCGCGGUGAAUACGUUCCCGGGCCUUGUACACACCGCCCGUCACACCAUGAGAGUUGGGAAUACCCGAAGCCCGUGAGCUAACCGAAAGGGAGCAGCGGUCGAAGGUAGAAUCAAUGAUUGGGGUGAAGUCGUAACAAGGUAAC